rnacentral:misc_RNA from 1 species
GCAAACUUGGUCAUUUAGAGGAAGUAAAAGUCGUAACAAGGUUUCCGUAGGUGAACCUGCGGAAGGAUCAUUAAAGAUUCUGGCCUUGGCCAACACUUCUUCAGCUGUGCGCCACGGCUGCACGCUGUUGAAACCUCACACACCCUGUGCGCAUCUCGGUCGGCCCCCCCUCACAGGGGCGGCCCUCCGCCUUUUAAACAUCAAACAACAGGAACAGAAUGUAACACAAACCAAUUGUAACAACUUUCAACAACGGAUCUCUUGGCUCUCGCAUCGAUGAAGAACGCAGC